CCAGACAGCCAGGAUGUUGGCUUAGAAGCAGCCAUCAUUUAAAGAAAGCGUAAUAGCUCACUGGUCGAGUCGGCCUGCGCGGAAGAUGUAACGGGGCUAAACCAUGCACCGAAGCUGCGGCAGCGACACUGUGUGUUGUUGGGUAGGGGAGCGUUCUGUAAGCCUGCGAAGGUGUCCCGUGAGGGAUGCUGGAGGUAUCAGAAGUGCGAAUGCUGACAUAAGUAACGAUAAAGCGGGUGAAAAGCCCGCUCGCCGGAAGACCAAGGGUUCCUGUCCAACGUUAAUCGGGGCAGGGUGAGUCGACCCCUAAGG
rnacentral:rRNA from 1 species